GGUCUUAGCGGCGGACGGGUGAGUAACGCGUGGGAACAUGCCCUUCACUACGGAAUAGUCCCGGGAAACUGGGUUUAAUACCGUAUACGCCCUUCGGGGGAAAGAUUUAUCGGUGAAGGAUUGGCCCGCGUUAGAUUAGGUAGUUGGUGGGGUAAUGGCCUACCAAGUCUACGAUCUAUAGCUGGUUUUAGAGGAUGAUCAGCAACACUGGGACUGAGACACGGCCCAGACUCCUACGGGAGGCAGCAGUGGGGAAUCUUGGACAAUGGGCGCAAGCCUGAUCCAGCCAUGCCGCGUGAAUGAUGAAGGCCUUAGGGUUGUAAAAUUCUUUCGCUAGGGAUGAUAAUGACAGUACCUAGUAAAGAAGCCCCGGCUAACUUCGUGCCAGCAGCCGCGGUAAUACGAAGGGGGCUAGCGUUGUUCGGAAUUACUGGGCGUAAAGCGCGCGUAGGCGGGCUAUUAAGCCAGAUGUGAAAGCCCGGAGCUCAACUCCGGAACUGCAUUUGGAACUGGUAGCCUAGAGACCAGGAGAGGUUAGCGGAAUACCGAGUGUAGAGGUGAAAUUCGUAGAUAUUCGGUGGAACACCAGUGGCGAAGGCGGCUAACUGGACUGGUACUGACGCUGAGGCGCGAAAGUGUGGGGAGCAAACAGGAUUAGAUACCCCUGUAGUCCUGGCCGUAAACGAUGAACACUAGGUGUCGGGGGAAUCGACCCCCUCGGUGUCG
rnacentral:rRNA from 1 species